rnacentral:rRNA from 1 species
UUGUGUUUUAGUAGGUUUUAAGGAAAAUUUAUUGUUGUAUCUAUAGUUUAUAAGUACCGUGUGGGAAUGUUUUUUGUGUUGUAAAAGGAGAAUUGUGUGUUUCGUACCUUUUGUAUUAUGGUUGGGUGAAAGAUUGUUCGAUUUAGUUUUGGCUUCCCGAAUUGAUAAGAGCUACAGAUGUACUUUUAUGGGUUCGUUGAAUUGAACCAUGUUAUGCAUUUGUAGUUGUGAAAUGCUAUUCGUUUAUUGAGAUAUCUGGUUUCCUUNAUAAAUGAAUUUAGUUCAGGCUUUUUUAUGUACAUUUUCUAGUAUGGGAUUGUUUAAUUUUAUUUGGAUGUAUAUAUUGGUGCUGAUUCCUGUGUGGAUAAGCUCGCAGGGAAUUCUCUUGUAAUGUUUGGUAUAUUUAUUGUAGUUUUCUNAGGUUUUGAAUUUGCUAUGUUUUAUUUUUAGUUUGUUAUAAAAUAGUUGCUUAUUUGUUAUUUUUUUCAAGUUUCACAUAGGGAUAUUUUCUUUUAAUUUUUUUGUUGAGUAGUAAUUCCCGAAUUAGUAUUAUUAUUUAAUGUGUUUCUAUUAUUUAUGUUUUAUAUUAUUUGUUGUAUUGUUGUAGUUAAUUUAUAUGAAGGAACUCGGCAAUCAAUACUUCCACCUGUUUAUUAAAAACAUGGCCUCCUCGAUAAAUUGUGAUAUGGGAGGUCAGACCUGCUCUCUGAGUCAAUUGAUUUAAAGGGCUGCAGUAUACUUGACUGUACAAAGGUAGCAUAGUAGUUUGCCUAUUAAUUGUUGGCUGGAAUGAAUGGUUCGAUGAGAUGUAAUCUGUCUCCAUAUUAUUAUAUAUAAUUUCAUUUUAUGGUGAAUAAGCCAUAAUGUUUCCGAGGGACGAAAAGACCCUAUAGAUUUUUAGCUUGUUUUAUAUAGUUGUUUAGUUAGUGUUUGGUAUUAAUUAUGUAUCUUAGGCUUUUACUGGGGCGGUAUUUGAAGAGAUGGAUCUUCAGAUUUUUUAAUUAUUUACACUUACUUGUGUGUUUAUUUUAUUGAUCCUGUUUUAUAUGGAUAAAAGGAACUAAAUACCUUAGGGAUAACAGCGUUAUCUCUCCUGAGAGUUCUUAUCGACGGGGGGGUUUGCGACCUCGAUGUUGAAUUAGGAUUUAUCCCAUAAGUAGUCAUAUGGGUUAUUUGGUCUGUUCGACCAUUAAAUGUUCUUCAUGAUUUGAGUUUAAACCGGCGUGAGCUAGGUUGGAUUUUAUCUUCGGAAUGUUAAUUACUCUCAUUAGUACGAAAGGAUUUUGUNGGGUUGGAUAUUCUAUAUUAUUUUUGAAUGUUAUUAAU